UACGUAGGGGGCAAGCGUUGUCCGGAAUCAUUGGGCGUAAAGCGCGUGUAGGCGGUUCAGUAAGUCCGCUGUGAAAGUCGGGGGCUCAACCCUCGAAUGCCGGUGGAUACUGUCGGGCUAGAGUACGGAAGAGGCGAGUGGAAUCCCUGGUGUAGCGGUGAAAUGCGCAGAUAUCAGGAGGAACACCUAUUGCGAAGGCAGCUCGCUGGGACGUAACUGACGCUGAGACGCGAAAGCGUGGGGAGCAAACAGG
rnacentral:rRNA from 1 species